GACGAACGCUGGCGGCGUGCUUAACACAUGCAAGUCGAACGGAAAGGCCCUGCUCUUGUGGGGUGCUCGAGUGGCGAACGGGUGAGUAACACGUGAGUAACCUGCCCUUGACUUUGGGAUAACUUCAGGAAACUGGGGCUAAUACCGGAGAGGAGCUCCUGCUCCAUGGUGGGGGUUGGAAAGUUUCGGCGGUUGGGGAUGGACUCGCGGCUUAUCAGCUUGUUGGUGGGGUAGUGGCUUACCAAGGCUUUGACGGGUAGCCGGCCUGAGAGGGUGAACGGCCACAUUGGGACUGAGAUAGGGCCCAGACUCCUACGGGAGGCAGCAGUGGGGAAUAUUGCACAAUGGGCGGAAGCCUGAUGCAGCAACGCCGCGUGCGGGAUGACGGCCUUCGGGUUGUAAACCGCUUUCGCCUGUGACGAAGCGUGAGUGACGGUAAUGGGUAAAGAAGCACCGGCUAACUACGUG
rnacentral:rRNA from 1 species